rnacentral:snoRNA from 1 species
AAUCCAUGGUGAGGGCACUUUCUUAAUAAAUCUUUUUAUCUCUCCCAUGCAUCAUGUAAAGUCUCUAAAUCGAUCUGCACAAAGGACGAUAUAUCAUUUCUCAACUU